rnacentral:tRNA from 1 species
GGAGAGGUGCCAGAGCGGUUGAAUGGACCGGUUUCGAAAACCGGCAGUGGGCGUAAGCUCACUCGGGAGUUCGAAUCUCCCCCUCUCCG